rnacentral:rRNA from 1 species
GAUGAACGCUGGCGGCGUGCCUAAUACAUGCAAGUCGAGCGAACGGACGAGAAGCUUGCUUCUCUGAUGUUAGCGGCGGACGGGUGAGUAACACGUGGAUAACCUGCCUAUAAGACUGGGAUAACUUCGGGAAACCGGAGCUAAUACCGGAUAAUAUUUUGAACCGCAUGGUUCAAAAGUGAAAGACGGUCUUGCUGUCACUUAUAGAUGGAUCCGCGCUGCAUUAGCUAGUUGGUAAGGUAACGGCUUACCAAGGCAACGAUGCAUAGCCGACCUGAGAGGGUGAUCGGCCACACUGGAACUGAGACACGGUCCAGACUCCUACGGGAGGCAGCAGUAGGGAAUCUUCCGCAAUGGGCGAAAGCCUGACGGAGCAACGCCGCGUGAGUGAUGAAGGUCUUCGGAUCGUAAAACUCUGUUAUUAGGGAAGAACAUAUGUGUAAGUAACUGUGCACAUCUUGACGGUACCUAAUAAGAAAGCCACGGCUAACUACGUG